AGUGCGGGGUAAGAGGGGGAGGGCGCGGAGCCCUGCCGGCGGCAGAGGACCGACGGGCGCUGACUGCGACCACCGCUCUCGGGCAGCGGACGCGCUUUGGAAGAUGAGUGGAAAACUACAAUAAAAAAAACAUAGCCAUGAAAAUAAGUGAGAUUAAAACCUGCCGGCUUCACUUCCUGGAGGCUUUUUGUUGGGUCUUGAAACUAGGAGUCUUUGCGGGUCAUCCUCAAUGAAGCUAAAACUGUCCCGAGAAGCUCCCCCAGGACCGAGGCCGACCGUCAGAGCAGAAUCUGGGCCAGUCUCAGCAGCUGUGUGUGUGCUUUAGUUUGAUUUUUUUCAGCCCACUUACCUCCGGAGAGCAGGUUUUCUCCAUCCGAAGACUCCCUGACCCCAGCACCUCCGGCCGGCCCCGGGUCGGGCUCUGGCUGCAGCCUCCAGGCCACUGCCCGGGUGGGACCGGGCCUGCGACACCAGCCAGCCUCCAGCCUCCCUGCUAGGACACCUGGGCCUGGGAAGGGACCGGAACUCCCCUCCAGCACCAGGCAGGGGCUGGGGGGAAGCGACCCCCUGUCCCCGUGGAAGGCCGGGUCCCAGCAGCUCCCUGCUGCCAGGUGCGCCCCCAUCAAACGUGCGCGCACCUUCGAGAAGGGAACAUGUGGCCUCCUAGACACUCCUGCGGGCAGCGCUGGGUCUCCAGUGCCAAGCAGGGUGCCUGGGCUCCUUUGCAAGUGAAUGAACGGACCCUGAAGCAGAAGCUGCCUCCUAAUCAGUCAAGGAGCUGGAUUUCUCAGCUUUCCAUUCUUAGGCGGUGUUGUCAUCAACCUGUGGAGAGAAACUGGAUUUAUCUGGGGGAAAAUCCGCUGGGAACUUCCCUGGUGGCGCAUUGGUUAAGAAUCCACCUGCCAAUGCAGGGGACAGGGGUUCGAUCCCUGGUCUGGGAAGAUCCCACAUGCCGCAGAGCAACUAAGCGGGUGAGCCACAACUACUGAGCCCCUGCGCCACAACUACUGAAGCCCGUGCACCACAACUACUGAAGCCCGCGCGCCUAGAGCCCGUGCUCCACAAGAGAAGCCACCACAACGAGAAGUCCGCGCACCACAACGAAGAGUAGCCCCCACUUGCUGCAAAUAGAGGAAGCCCGCGUGCAGCAACGAAGACCCAACGCAGCCAAAAACAAAUAAAUAAAUAAAUAAUUUUUUUUAAAAAAUUGAAAGACUUCUUUGUACUGGGUGAAAACUUAGAUUUCAAACCUAAUUUUGAUCAGCUUUAUCAUGAAUACAUUUUGCUAGUUUAUUCCUUAAAAAUCUUUCUCAGAAUCUCUCCUCUUAACUCUCUGAAGUGAUACCAGAUGGGUUUUAUUUUAUCUUUUUAGCUAAAAUUGGAUCCUGGGAAAGAAUCUAGAAUAGAUGAUAGGAAGAUGACUGUCAUCUGACAAUUUCCAUUACUUACCUAACUCCCUUCCUCCCUGGAAUUAAAGAGACCAGACACUUUAUGGAGACCCACAUUCCCAAACCGUUGGGAGGAAGAAUAACAGUUUUAGGAAUUCCUUUGUGUUUCCGAAAAUUAGUAAUAAGCUACUCCUUGUAAGUCUGUUGCAGUGAAAUCACAGCCAGCUGCCUACCUCUAGAAAAAAAGGUUCCAGAUUUCCUUUCCCUGGAAUGUGGCCCUGGCGAGGCUGUUCCAUUUCAAAGGAGGCGCUCAGUAGGUCCCUCAAUAAGGCAGUGUCAACCGUUGUAAACAAAGUUCCCUAGAACAGGCCCUCCAUACCCAGUUACCUGGGAGCUCCUGCUCAAGCUUUGGGUCAGUUACCCUGCCAUCCAUGCUAGCUGCCAUCCUUGGCCCAAGUGUUGUCCACGAACUUGCCAAAGCGUGGCUGGAACAUCCUCAAACUCCCAAACAGUAUCCCAGGCUCCCGGGUAAGUCCACUUAUUUAUCAUAUGCUUUACUCUUGGUCUACAGAUUUAAAUAAAAAGAAGUAAAGCAUGGAUUGAACUCCGACAUCAGCAUUUAUUCAUUUUUUUGGUCAUCCUUUCGUCCUAUUUGAUGGUGGAGGCAUGAACGCUAGUAAAGAUAUAUUUUGAGGUUAACUUCUGUUUGCACUAGCAGUUUCUUAAUAAUUUUCCCAUUUAAAAAGAGAUUUAUAAUAAAACAAAAUAGAAAUGUUUCUAUGAUUUUUAAGUGAGGUUUUAAACAUUACUAUUAUUAUUAAUAAUAGCCUACUAAGACUCCUUGGUCUUAAAGGUGAGAAAAAGUUAGAUUUGGCCUAAAAAUGAAGACAUAGCAAAAAACAAUAAUAAUAAAACUGCAUCUCUGUUGUUUUUUUCAAGUCAGUUUGAUUCUGAACUAUAAUUCUUUAAAAACCCUCAAGAUGGGCUUCCCUGGUGGCGCAGUGGUUAAGAAUCCGCCUGCCAAUGCAGGGGACAAGGGUUCAAGCCCUGGUCCGGGAAGUUCCCACAUGCCGCGGAGCAACUAAGCCCGUGCGCCACAACUACUGAGCCUGCGCUCUAGAGCCCACGAGCCACAACUACUGAAGCCCUUGCGCCUAGAGCCCGUGCUCCACAACAAGAGAAGCCACCGCAAUGAGAAGCCCACGCACCGCAACGAAGAGUAGCCCCCGCUCACCGCAACUGGAGAAAGCACGCACGCAGCAAGGAAGACCCAACGCAGCCAAAAAUAAAUAAAUCAAAUACAUUAAAAAAAAAAAAACCCUCAAGACCUUAACAUUUAAAAAAAACUUCAAGUAUUAUAUUUACAAUAACAUAUCUCUUACCUAAUUAAAAAAAAUAAAAUCAGUAUUAUUUCUAAUGGUUCAUUAUAAUUAUCUGUAAAAGCUCAGUGUAUAUAAAUUCAUGACAUAAAGUUUUGCAAUGUUGACCUCUAAAAUUUAGGUCCUUAAAAAAAAUGAGAAAUUUACACUGCUUUUCAGGUUUGAUCUAUAUAGUGUAAAAUCCAGUACUCAACAGUGUAUGAAAUAGAUCCCUAUGGGACUGACUAGAAGAUAAGUUUUUUUAUAAUUAAUCCAAUCUCAUGUUGACCUGUUGGCCACCAUUUGAUAAGACAUGUACUCCCCAGAACUGUAGACUGUCUUGGUCUUAAAUCAUAUGUGAAAACACAGUUAACCUUAUUUAAAGAAAAAAAUUCUGAUACAAAUGACGAAUACCUUUUGGAAAUCAUGUAGAUUAUUAUGAAGAACAAUGAUACAAUGAAAUGAAAAGCAAGAAAGCUCUAAUGCUUUUGCAAAAUUUUCAGUUUUUUCACCCAUUCCAAUUGAUCUACACGUUCUCUUUUUGCAAUGCUGCAAUUACUUGUAUAUAAAAGCUCUUUCUGUUAAUCUUCAACCUGAAAAGUAGUAAAAUAACAGAAGCAUAAAGGGGAAUGGACAUUUCAACCCAAUGGCUCUCCAGUUUUUUCAAGCUUUUCAUCUGCUCUCUUUUGAAGGUUUAUCCCUUUCACGAUUUCCCCCACUGCUAUAGGCUCGAACCUUUAUGGAAUCUUAGAAAUCAUGACCCUACAUAUCCCUUAUAUGUAAAAUUGUCUCAAUAGCCUUUUAAAAAGUUACUACAUUUGGGUGAAAACUUGCUGAAGGCAGCUUGGUAGCACUCACCAAAUUCAUCGUUUCACUUCAAUCAAAAACUGACUUGAAUUUCGGCCAUUUCACUUUGAGGAAUAUAUUUAUAACCUAACAAAAUAAUCAUGGACACAGAAGUAUGGGUAUAAGGAAAGUCUAGUCAUCUUAGCCUUGUUCAUAAUAGUAAAAAAAAAUCCAUAAACAACAAGGUGCUACUGUAUAGUACAGGGAACAUUUCAAUAUCCUGUGAUAAACCAUAAUGGAAAAGAAUAUGUAAAAGAAUGUAUAUAUAUGUAUAACUGAAUCACUUUGCUGUACAGCAGAAAUUAACACAACAUUGUAAAUCAACUAUGCUUAUGCUUCAAUAAAACUAAUUAAAAAAUCAGAAACUACACAAAUGUCUAAUAAGAUGGGAUCGACAAGAUAAUUUAUGUUAUUUUACAUUUAUUCAGUGGAAUAACAUGCAGGCAGUAAAAAUGAUGCAGUGCAGAGCAGAAUAAGGAUAUAUGAUGACAUAAAGUUUUGUUUAAGAUAGACUGUUAGCAGUAAAAGUAGUUUUCAAGUAGAGUGUUUGUAAAUAUAUUGCCAUUUUUUGUAAAGCAGACAUAUAUAUACAACCAAAAGACAACCUAACUUAAAAAUCGGCAAAGGACUUGAAUUAGUUCUCCAAAAAGGUAUACAAAUGGCCAACAAGCACAUGAAAAGAUGCUCAGUAUCAUUAGUCAUUAGGGUAAUGCAAAUCAAAACCACAAUGAGAUACUACUUCACACCCACCCACUACGAUGGCUAUUAUUUUUUUUAAAAAAAAGGGAAAUAGGAAGUGCUGGUGGGGUUGUGGAAAAAUUGGAAUGCUUAUACAUUGCUAGAGGGAACGUAAAAUGAUUCAAUUGCUGUGGAAGGGUCAUCUUAGCCAUUGUGGUCCCUCAAAAAGUUAAACAGAAUUACCGUAUGAUCCAGUAAUUCCAUUCCUAGAUAUGUACCCCCAAAGAGUUGAAAAUAGGGAGUCAAACAAAUACUUGUACAUGCAUGUUCAUAGCAGCACUAGUCAAGUGUCCAUCAAUGAAUGAAUGAAUAAGUGAAUUGUGAUAUACAUACAUGCACUGGAAUAUUACUCAGCCGCGAAAAGGAAUGAAAUAUGGUACAUACCACAGUGUGAAUGAACCUUGAAAACAUUAUGCUAAGUGAAAGAAGCCAGACGCAAAAGGUCACAUACUGUAUGAUUCCAUUUAUGCGAAAUAGCCACAAUAGGUAAAUCCAUGGAGAUGAUGCAGAUUGAUUGUUGCCAAGGGCUAAGGGGGAAGGGCAGAAUUAAUGGGUAUAGGAUUUCCUUUUGGGGUGAUGAAAAUGUUUGGAACUAGAGGCGGUGGUUGCACAACACUGUGAAUGUACUAAAUGCCAUUGAAUUGUUAAUUUUAAAAUGGUUC